rnacentral:rRNA from 1 species
UACAGAGGGUGCAAGCGUUGUUCGGAAUUACUGGGCGUAAAGGGCGCGUAGGCGGCCUGUUAAGUCGAACGUGAAAUCCCUGGGCUCAACCCAGGAACUGCGUCCGAUACUGGCAGGCUUGAAUUCGGGAGAGGGAUGCGGAAUUCCAGGUGUAGCGGUGAAAUGCGUAGAUAUCUGGAGGAACACCGGUGGCGAAGGCGGGUCUCUGGGCCGAUACUGACGCUGAGGAGCGAAAGCGUGGGGAGCGAACAGG